rnacentral:rRNA from 1 species
UACGGAGGGGGCUAGCGUUGUUCGGAAUUACUGGGCGUAAAGCGCACGUAGGCGGCUUUGUAAGUUAGAGGUGAAAGCCCGGGGCUCAACCCCGGGAGGCGGAUGGAUACUGCAUGGCUCGAGUACGGAAGAGGCGAGUGGAAUUCCCGGUGUAGCGGUGAAAUGCGCAGAUAUCGGGAGGAACACCAAUGGCGAAGGCAGCUCGCUGGGACGUUACUGACGCUGAGACGCGAAAGCGUGGGGAGCAAACAGG